AUAUAGUUAUGCUGCUGUCCAAAUGUCAAGGCAAUCACAAGUAUGGAACUCUGGAAACAAUGAUGGAAACAUAUAAGGGAUUGCAGGAAAAAAUGUCCCAUAACCAGCCGAAGAGUUGGACUACUUCACGAAUGAUUUUUGCUACAGGAGAGGUUAAACUAAUCGGUAAAACAAAGAUUGUGUCAGUAAAAUGUCACUUCAAUCCAG